CUACUGCUGUAGAGUCCCAUAAUAGGACGAAACGGCCGUCCAGUGU
rnacentral:hammerhead_ribozyme from 1 species